AGGGGAGUGAAAUAGUUCCUGAAACCAUGUGCCUACAAUAAGUCAGAGCGCGUUAAUGCGUGAUGGCGUGCCUUUUGUAGAAUGAACCGGCGAGUUAUGAUCCCGUGCAAGGUUAAGACUAAAAAGUCGGAGCCGUAGCGAAAGCGAGUCUGAAAUGGGCGUUUUGAGUACGAGGUUAUAGACCCGAAACCAGGUGACCUAUCCAUGUCCAGGUUGAAGGUGCGGUAAAACGCACUGGAGGACCGAACCCGUGUAAGUUGAAAAUUGCUGGGAUGAGGUGUGGAUAGCGGUGAAAUUCCAAACGAACUUGGAGAUAGCUGGUUCUCUCCGAAAUAGCUUUAGGGCUAGCCUCGGAAUUAGGAUCAUGGAGGUAGAGCACUAUUUGGACUAGGGGCCCGUCUUGGGUUACUGAAUUCAGAUAAACUCCGAAUGCCAUUGAUUCAUAUCCGGGAGUCAGACGAUGAGUGAUAAGAUCCACCGUCGAAAGGGGAACAGCCCAGACCAUCAGUUAAGGUCCCUAAAUGUAUGCUAAGUGGAAAAGGAUGUGGAGUUGCAUAGACAACUAGGAUGUUGGCUCAGAAGCAGCCACCAUUUAAAGAGUGCGUAAUAGCUCACUAGUCGAGUGAUCCUGCGCCGAAAAUGUACCGGGGCUAAGCAUACUACCGAAACCAUGGAUGCGACCAUUAGGUCGCGUGAUAGGAGAGCGUUCUAAGGGCGGUGAAGCAAGAUCGUGAGGACUUGUGGAGCGCUUAGAAGUGAGAAUGCCGGUAUGAGUAGCGAAAGAUAGGUGAGAAUCCUAUCCACCGAAUGACUAAGGUUUCCUGGGGAAGGCUCGUCCUCCCAGGGUUAGUCGGGACCUAAGUCGAGGCCGAGAGGCGUAGACGAUGGAUAACAGGUUGAGAUUCCUGUACUAGUUAAGUGCGUUUGAGCAAUGGAGGGACGCAGGAGGCUAAGAUGUGCAUUCUGUUGGAUUAGAAUGUCCAAGCAGUAAGUCUUGUGAAGAGUCAAAUGCUUUUCACUUUAAGGACAAGCUGUGAUGGGGAGCGAAAUUUAGUAGCGAAGCGUCUGAUGUCACACUGCCGAGAAAAGCUUCUAGUGAGUACUUAACUACCCGUACCGCAAACCGACACAGGUAGUCGAGGAGAGAAUCCUAAGGUGAGCGAGUGAACUCUCGUUAAGGAACUCGGCAAAAUGACCCCGUAACUUCGGGAGAAGGGGUGCUGAUCGCAAGAUCAGCCGCAGUGAAUAGGCCCAGGCGACUGUUUAUCAAAAACACAGGUCUCUGCAAAAUCGUAAGAUGACGUAUAGGGGCUGACGCCUGCCCGGUGCUGGAAGGUUAAAAGGAUGGGUUAGCUUCGGCGAAGCUCAGAAUUGAAGCCCCAGUAAACGGCGGCCGUAACUAUAACGGUCCUAAGGUAGCGAAAUUCCUUGUCGGGUAAGUUCCGACCCGCACGAAAGGCGUAACGAUCUGGGCACUGUCUCAACGAGAGACUCGGUGAAAUUAUAUUGUCCGUGAAGAUGCGGACUACCCGCGACAGGACGGAAAGACCCCAUGGAGCUUUACUGUAGCUUGAUAUUGAGUGUUUGUACAGCUUGUACAGGAUAGGUAGGAGCCAUAGAAACCGGAACGCUAGUUUCGGUGGAGGCGUUGGUGGGAUACUACCCUCGCUGUAUGACCACUCUAACCCGCACCACUAAUCGUGGUGGGAGACAGUGUCAGGUGGGCAGUUUGACUGGGGCGGUCGCCUCCUAAAAAGUAACGGAGGCGCCCAAAGGUUCCCUCAGAAUGGUUGGAAAUCAUUCGCAGAGUGUAAAGGCACAAGGGAGCUUGACUGCGAGACAGACAGGUCGAGCAGGGACGAAAGUCGGGCUUAGUGAUCCGGUGGUACCGUAUGGAAGGGCCAUCGCUCAACGGAUAAAAGCUACCCUGGGGAUAACAGGCUUAUCUCCCCCAAGAGUCCACAUCGACGGGGAGGUUUGGCACCUCGAUGUCGGCUCAUCGCAUCCUGGGGCUGUAGUCGGUCCCAAGGGUUGGGCUGUUCGCCCAUUAAAGCGGUACGCGAGCUGGGUUCAGAACGUCGUGAGACAGUUCGGUCCCUAUCCGUCGCGGGCGUAGGAAAUUUGAGAGGACCUGUCCUUAGUACGAGAGGACCGGGAUGGACAUACCUCUGGUGUACCAGUUGUGCCGCCAGGCGCAUCGCUGGGUAGCUACGUAUGGAUGUGAUAAACGCUGAAAGCAUCUAAGUGUGAAACACACCUCGAGAUGAGAUUUCCCAUUCCUUUAUGGAAGUAAGACCCCUGAAAGAUGAUCAGGUAGAUAGGUUAGAAGUGGCAGUGCGGUGACGCAUGAAGCGGACUAAUACUAAUCGGUCGAGGACUUAACCAA
rnacentral:rRNA from 1 species